GUAGGUGGCAAGCGUUGUCCGGAAUUAUUGGGCGUAAAGCGCGCGCAGGCGGCUUCUUAAGUCCAUCUUAAAAGUGCGGGGCUUAACCCCGUGAUGGGAUGGAAACUGAGAGGCUGGAGUAUCGGAGAGGAAAGUGGAAUUCUUAGUGUAGCGGUGAAAUGCGUAGAUAUUAGGAGGAACACCAGCGGCGAAGGCGGCUUUCUGGACUGUAACUGACACUGAGGCACGAAAGCGUGGGGAGCAAACAGGAUUAGAUACCCUGGUAGUCCACGCCGUAAACGAUGAGCACUAGAUGUUGGUCCCGAAGGGAUCAGUGUCGCAGUUAACGCAAUAAGUGCUUCGCCUGGGGAGU
rnacentral:rRNA from 1 species